rnacentral:lncRNA from 1 species
AACCGAAUAAGCUUUAUUAAGUAAAUAACCGAUAAGUCUUGCUACUUGAAAUAAUAACUUCAGAUCUCAAAUUUUUAUUUCCGGCUUUCCUCAGUCGUCACUAUCUCUUUGACCCAUCAACAAAACCCUAAUUUCUCUCUCUAAUCAAUUGAUAGAGAAAGAGAGAGCUACUCUUCUCCAGAUCUAUUUCUAUUCUAUUUCUAUUCUCAUGAUUCACGAACUUUGCCCCCUUCCUUCUCUUCCUCCUGCCUUCUCUCUCCACUAAUAUGUGCUUGUUGUCCUCUUUCCACUAAUCUGUGCUUGACUACUUGUUGUAAUCUCUCCACUAAUCUAUUUCAGACCAGUCGAUGAUGAAGAUUGAAGGCAGAAGGCGUAUGAGUUGGGGUAUUCCUAGCUUGACGUUAGCGGGUGUCACCGCCAUGGCCUAGCUUGGCGUCGAGUAUGUAGGAGCGACUGGGGUGACUGGCAGCGUACUUGAUGUCAUCGGCGGUGGCGGAGUCGUCCAAGAUCUCAGCCAUUUCCCCCCUCUUUUUCUACCACCAUGACUGAAUGCAAAUUUAAAGCUAUUCAUAUAUAUAUAAUUUCUCAGAUCUGUUUGUUACCUUGUGGAGUUGUGGUCUUGUUUCAGAUCUGAUAUAUUGUUUUAUCUUUGCUGCUCUGAUUUUAUGCAAAGUUGCAAACCAUCAUAUUCGGUUAUUAACCGAUUAACCGAAUAAUUUAUUCGGUUAUUGUAUAUUUUCGGUUAGUAAUUCGGAUACUUAAAACAGUUAAUUUUAAUUUUCGAUUAUACUUGAAAUGUUUAUUCGGUUCGGUUAAUAACCGAAUGAUCACCCUUAGGCGAAGUCACAUAGACCUUUGUGGGGUCAAUCAAUUUUACUGAAAAAAAGAAUUGUUUUAUAAUGUAAAGUAAAUUUUAAAAAUUUAUAACUUUGUCAAUUAAAUUUUAACCACAUAUGACUCAUAUCUUCUUAAUAUAUAUAUUUCGUUCUAUAAUAUUUUAAACUAAAUAAUAAUCUAAUUUAUAUUAUUUUUAAAAAUAAAUAAUAAAAUAUUUAAUUAUGAACAAUUGUGAUUAAAAAAGUCUAUUAUAAGUCAAUAUAGUGUAUAUAUACAAUAUAUUAUUACUCAUUAUAUUUUCAUUGUAACAAAAUAUAUAUAUAUAUAUAUAUAUAUAUAUUAUUUGUACUUCAGUAAUAAUUUCGAUCCAACUGAUACAAUUUUCUGGUUUCGCCAUUGUGCAGAAGUAAUGGGCUCAGUUUCCCAUCCUGACCCGAGCUAGGCUGAAUUGAUAGGGUCCUGUAAAACCCAGCCCGGCCCAGCCAGGGAUCAUUGAAUACAUUUUGGACCUCUUUG